rnacentral:misc_RNA from 1 species
AUUUGAUGGGACUUCUGAGUGUUGUCAUUCUUGCAAACUCAAGAUAUGUGGGCUGAAAACACUUGUCAGGAGUUUUUUGCCACAUCGAGGAUCUCAUGUCAAUCUUCAAAUUGAUGAAUUGUUGCAUAUUUUAUUAAUUUGCUGCAAAGGGGUGAUGCUUUUGAUGGAAUCAUCUCAUGUGCAAGUGACAAAACUCAUAUCAGAUUAGCUGCUGCAAAAUCUGUUCUCCGACUUUCCAGAAGAUGGGAUUUACAUGUGUCUCCAAAAAUUUUUUGCUUGACAAUUUUGAUGGCAAGGGACUCAUAUUCUUCAGUUAGGAGAAAAUUCCUUAAUAAAACACACAAGCUUUUAAAGGAGCAUGCCAUACCGAGUAGAUAUGCAUGUGCUUUUCCAUUGGCUGCAUUCGAUUGCUGUAAGGAUCUGCAGGAUGCUUCAUCUAAAUACAUGGAAGAAUUUAUCAAAGAAUACAGUAUAGAAGCUCGAAAUCACCAAACCUCUGCAGUGCAAGGAGGAUCACUUACAGAUUGUCCGGCAUACAUAGUUGUAUUCUUGAUCCAUAUUCUUGCUCAUGAUUCUGGCUUUCCAGCUGAAGACUGUCAGGAUGAACAAGUGUAUGCUGAUUUUGUUAGUCCACUAUUUUGGGUUGUACGAGCAUUGGUAAAUUCCAAUAUCGUUAACGGUGAUAUGGACAUUGUUAAUGAUGCUGUCUUGUAUUUGCUAAGUAUUUUUCGUGCUAUUAAAAGAGCUGAAGAUGCCAUUGAUGCUACAAGAACUCCUAAGCUGCNNNNNNNNNNNNNGAGAUUGGGAUAUCCUCUGUAAAUGCAUUAAAUUAUAAUGGCAUUUCAACAUCACGUGCCCCUGGGCUAAUUUUGCUGCCAUCAUCUUUGUAUAGAAUAUGUUCAGAUAAGAAGUCUAAUGAGUUCCCUGUUGAUGAGAAUUUUAUCAAGAGAGUCAUUCAGAGUCUCAAAUCUCAAUUCUCUAUGGUGGUUAGCUGCCUUCCAAAACGCGGUAAAAAGUGUCAAGAGGAUGGAAUACAGUCUGGUGAUGCUAAGUAUAACACACUGAACUUGGCAACUCAUGAUCAAGCUAUGUUAUUAGGAAUUGAGGCAACAGAAAUGCAAGGACCUUCAAGUCAGGAUAUCAAUUUGGGACAUAGACAAAGAUGUGCUGCAUCUAAAUCAGCUGGACUUCACAUUGAGGUGUGCAAAAAUAAUGUGCCUAUGAGCUCUAAAUCCACUAAGGAGAAACAAAUGUCUUCAUCCUGUGAUUCUGCAACCAUUAAACCUUCUCUGAGCCAAUCACAUGAGAGCGAGGCAUUAAUUGGAAAGCGCAUCAAAUUAUUAUCUCCUGUUGAUAAAUGUUUUUAUUCAGGUACAGUGGUUGGUUUUAAUCCUUGCAACAAGACUCACAAGAU